rnacentral:rRNA from 1 species
CCUACGGGUGGCAGCAGUGAGGAAUAUUGGUCAAUGGACGAGAGUCUGAACCAGCCAAGUAGCGUGAAGGAUGACGGCCCUAUGGGUUGUAAACUUCUUUUAUAAAGGAAUAAAACGAGGCACGUGUGCCGUUUUGCAUGUACUUUAUGAAUAAGGAUCGGCUAACUCCGUGCCAGCAGGCGCGGUAAUACGGAGGGUCCGAGCGUUAUCCGGCUUUAUUGGGGUUACAGGGAGCGUAGAUGGGUUUUUAAGUCAGUUGUGAAAGUUUGCGGCUCAACCGUAAAAUUGCACUUGAUACUGGCAGUCUUGAGUACAGUUGAGGUAGGCUGAUUUCGUGGUGUAGCGGU